UCGGGUGAUGACUCUAUGACACGCUAAGGCAUUCCUCAAACUUAAUCUUCUAUGUGGAAUCUGUCUGUACUAAGUUUCAGCCUUGUCUGACU
rnacentral:snoRNA from 1 species